CUGCGUGUGGUGGAACUACACUUUGAAAGACUGGAGCACCUCUGGCUGCUCCAAAGUCAACCACUCAGAAGACGGCCUGCGAUGUUUCUGUAAUCACACCACUAACUUCGCUGUGCUUAUGUCAUUCAGGAGGGAUUUUAAAUACGCUGAAGUUCUAAACUGGAUCACCACAUUGGGAUGCUCCAUGUCCAUCAUAGGGUUGAGUUUAACAAUAACAUUCCAGAUCGCAACCUGGUAAGAUCCUAGAGGGUUCCAGAACCAAUUCAACCUAUACAAUAACAUUCCAGAUGGUGACCCGGUAAGAUCCUACAGGGUUCCAGAACCAAUUAAACAUAUACAAUAACAUUCCAGAUGGUGACCCGGUAAGAUCCUACAGGGUUCCAGAACCAAUUCUAAAUAUACAAUAACAUUCCAGAUCGUGACCCGGAAAGAUCCUACAGGGUUCCAGAACUAAUAAAACAUAUUGGGUGCAUCUCAAUAGUGUAAAGAAGCCCUUUGUCUGAUCCAACACGACUUGAUAGGUGAAAUCAAUAUGAAACCCACCAAUAAUGACCCAACACAUCCAUAGCUACGCAUCUAACUUCCCUAACAUAGUGUUGUCUAUCACCUAUCCCCAGGAAAUCACGCAAAACCAACCCAACUGUCCUCUUAGUGAGCGUCUGCGUGUGUCUCCUGAUCUUCACCCUCCUCUUCAUGUUGGGGGUGGACAACCCUCAUAAACAGCUGGAGAAACCUGAAAUACAGGAGGACAACAUUGUCCCCUCGUCCGACACACACACAGAGCGGGACAGAGGCCCCUGUACUGCAGUCACAGUCCUGCUGCAGUACUUCCUGUUGGGGACGUUCACCUGGAACACGCUGUACGCCACACAUGUCUUCCUGAUGAUCAGAAACAGCCUGGCCACCAGCCCGUCACACUUCACAGCCUAUACCGUGGCCAUCGGAUGGGGACUGCCUGCGGUUGUGGUGGCCCUCACAUUAGG